rnacentral:tRNA from 1 species
GCAGUGGUGGUUCAGUGGUAGAAUUCUCACCUUCCAUGAAGGAGACCUAGGUUCGAUUCCUAGCCAAGGUA